rnacentral:lncRNA from 1 species
GCCAAACUCAAUGAGUAGGGUUAGAUAACCCUCUCACCCCACACAAUCACACAGAUGCUAAAAUAUUUUUAUCCGGUUACUGUUUAAUUAUAUGAUCAUGCAAUUUGUCACACAAAUGGCAAUACAACAGCAAUCACAAUUAUUAUCACCUUCAUAUAAUCACAUCACGUGGAAAUUAGUCAGUGGAGUCACCGAACCCCCGAUGAGCCGUCCUCCCACAUGG